rnacentral:rRNA from 1 species
AAGUGCUGAAAGCAUCUAAGCAUGAAGCCCCCCUCAAGAUGAGAUUUCCCAUAGCGUAAGCUAGUAAGAUCCCUGAAAGAUGAUCAGGUUGAUAGGUUCGAGGUGGAAGCAUGGUGACAUGUGGAGCUGACGAAUACUAAUAGAUCGAGGACUUAACCAUAUAA